rnacentral:rRNA from 1 species
UACGGAAGGUCCGGGCGUUAUCCGGAUUUAUUGGGUUUAAAGGGUGCGUAGGCGGGUUAUCAAGUCAGCGGUAAAAUCGUGGAGCUCAACUCCAUCCAGCCGUUGAAACUGAUGAUCUUGAGUGGGCGAGAAGUAUGCGGAAUGCGUGGUGUAGCGGUGAAAUGCAUAGAUAUCACGCAGAACCCCGAUUGCGAAGGCAGCAUACCGGCGCGCAACUGACGCUCAUGCACGAAAGCGUGGGUAUCGAACAGG